GAUGAACGCUGGCGGCGUGCUUAACACAUGCGAGUCGAACGAAGCACCUUGAUUCGAUUCUUCGGAUGAAGAUCUUGGUGACUGAGUGGCGGACGGGUGAGUAACGCGUGGGUAACCUGCCUCAUACAGGGGGAUAACAGUUAGAAAUGACUGCUAAUACCGCAUAAGACCACAGCACCGCAUGGUGCAGGGGUAAAAACUCCGGUGGUAUGAGAUGGACACGCGUCUGAUUAGGUAGUUGGUGGGGUAACGGCCUACCAAGCCGACGAUCAGUAGCCGACCUGAGAGGGUGACCGGCCACAUUGGGACUGAGACACGGCCCAAACUCCUACGGGAGGCAGCAGUGGGGAAUAUUGCACAAUGGGGGAAACCCUGAUGCAGCGACGCCGCGUGAGCGAUGAAGUAUUUCGGUAUGUAAAGCUCUAUCAGCAGGGAAGAAAAUGACGGUACCUGACUAAGAAGCACCGGCUAAAUACGUG
rnacentral:rRNA from 1 species